AAACAUUCCCGUGUAAGAACUCAGC
rnacentral:piRNA from 1 species